GACGAACGCUGGCGGCGUGCUUAACACAUGCAAGUCGAACGGAAAGGCCCUGCUUGCAGGGUACUCGAGUGGCGAACGGGUGAGUAACACGUGGGUGAUCUGCCCUGCACUUCGGGAUAAGCCUGGGAAACUGGGUCUAAUACCGGAUAGGAGCCAUUUUUAGUGUGAUGGUUGGAAAGUUUUUUUCGGUGUAGGAUGAGCUCGCGGCCUAUCAGCUUGUUGGUGGGGUAAUGGCCUACCAAGGCGGCGACGGGUAGCCGGCCUGAGAGGGUGGACGGCCACAUUGGGACUGAGAUGCGGCCCAGACUCCUACGGGAGGCAGCAGUGGGGAAUAUUGCACAAUGGGCGCAAGCCUGAUGCAGCGACGCCGCGUGGGGGAUGACGGCCUUCGGGUUGUAAACUCCUUUCGCUAGGGACGAAGCUUUUUGUGACGGUACCUAGAUAAGAAGCACCGGCUAACUACGUG
rnacentral:rRNA from 1 species